rnacentral:rRNA from 1 species
GAUGAACGCUGGCGGCGUGCCUAAUACAUGCAAGUCGAGCGAACAGACGAGGAGCUUGCUCCUCUGACGUUAGCGGCGGACGGGUGAGUAACACGUGGAUAACCUACCUAUAAGACUGGGAUAACUUCGGGAAACCGGAGCUAAUACCGGAUAAUAUAUUGAACCGCAUGGUUCAAUAGUGAAAGACGGUUUUGCUGUCACUUAUAGAUGGAUCCGCGCCGCAUUAGCUAGUUGGUAGGGUAACGGCUUACCAAGGCAACGAUGCGUAGCCGACCUGAGAGGGUGAUCGGCCACACUGGAACUGAGACACGGUCCAGACUCCUACGGGAGGCAGCAGUAGGGAAUCUUCCGCAAUGGGCGAAAGCCUGACGGAGCAACGCCGCGUGAGUGAUGAAGGUCUUCGGUUCGUAAAACUCUGUUAUUAGGGAAGAACAAAUGUGUAAGUAACUAUGCACGUCUUGACGGUACCUAAUCAGAAAGCCACGGCUAACUACGUG